rnacentral:rRNA from 1 species
CACGGGUAGCAAUACCUGGUGGCGAGUGGCGCACGGGUGCGUAACACGUAUGCAAUCUACCUUUAACUGGGGAAUAACCCCUCGAAAGAGGGGCUAAUACCGCAUAAAACUUUGAUGGGACAUCCCAAUGAAGUCAAACCUACGGGGGUUAAAGAUGAGCAUGCGUCCGAUUAGCUAGUUGGCGGGGUAACGGCCCACCAAGGCAACGAUCGGUAGGGGAUCUGAGAGGAUGAUCCCCCACACUGGUACUGAGACACGGACCAGACUCCUACGGGAGGCAGCAGUAAGGAAUAUUGGACAAUGGGCGCAAGCCUGAUCCAGCCAUGCCGCGUGCAGGAUGAAAGUGCUAUGCACUGUAAACUGCUUUUGUUUGGGAAAAAACCCCUGGUUUCUACCGGGGCUGAUUGUACCAAAAGAAUAAGGGACGGCUAACUUCGUGCCAGCAGCCGCGGUAAUACGAAGGUCCCAAGCGUUAUCCGGAUUUAUUGGGUUUAAAGGGUGCGUAGGCGGGCUAUUAAGUCAGUGGUGAAAGCCCCAAGCUUAACUUGGGAACUGCCAUUGAUACUGAUGGCCUUGAGUACAUUUGAGGUGGGCGGAAUGUGUCAUGUAGCGGUGAAAUGCUUAGAUAUGACACAGAACACCGAUUGCGAAGGCAGCUCACUAAACUGUAACUGCCGCUGAGGCACGAAAGCGUGGGGAGCAAACAGGAUUAGAUACCCUGGUAGUCCACGCCCUAAACGAUGAUCACUCGAUGUGUGCGAUAUACUGUACGCGUCUGAGCGAAAGCAUUAAGUGAUCCACCUGGGGAGUACGA